rnacentral:piRNA from 1 species
CUUGGAAUAGAGCAGCAAGGGAU